AUGGGCAGCUCAUCAGGGCUCGUCGACUGGAGGGGAAGGCCGGUUAACCCCAAGAAGCAUGGAGGAGUGAGAGCUUCCAUCUUCAUUCACGCUCUGGUGCUGCUGAGCAACGCUGCCAACAUCGCCAACAUCAUGAACCUGGUGACCUACCUUCGCGGCACCAUGCACAUGGGGGUGGCGGAGGCCUCCACCACGGCCAGCAACUUCUUCGCCGCGCUGCAGAUGUUCUCCAUCCCGGCGGCCUUCCUCGCCGACUCCUACAUCAAGCGCUUCUACACCGUCCUUAUCUUCGGACCAAUCGAGAUUCUGGGCUACAUCCUACUAGCAGUGCAAGCGCACGUCCCGUCUCUGCACCCGCCGCCCUGCAGUCCCACUGGCCCGCAGACCUGCGAGACGGUCCGUGGCUCCAACCUGAGCCUGCUCCUCCUGGGCCUCUACCUGAUCCCCAUCGGCGACGGCGCGGCGCGCGCGUGCCUGCCGGCGCUGGGGGGCGACCAGUUCGACACGGCCGACCCCGUGGAGCAGCGGCAGGAGACGAGCUUCUUCAACUGGUACACCUUCGCCGUGUCCUCCGGCGGCUUCGUCGGCCUGGUGCUCGUCGUGUGGGUGGAGAACAGGAGAGGAUGGGACAUCGGCUUCACCGUGUGUGCCCUGUGCGUGCUGCUGGGGAUGCUCAUAUGGAUGGCCGGCUUCCCUUUCUACAGGAAUCAGCUGCCCGGUGGAAGCGCCAUCACAAGAAUCUUGCAGGUUCUUGUGGUGGCAUUCAAGAAAAGAAAUGUUCAGUUGCCUGACAACGCAAGUGAGCUGAAGCAGCUGAACCAAGAUGAUCACAAUGUCCUUGAAGAGUUGCAGCGGACAGAUGGCUUUCGGUGCCUGGAGAAAUCGGCGGUAGAGACCGGAGAGACAGGGCCAUGGUCGCUGUGCACCGUGACGCAGGUGGAGGAGACCAAGAUCGUCCUCCGGAUGGUGCCCAUCUUCCUGAGCUCCGUCCUCGGAUACAUCCCGGUGCCGCUCAUCCUCAACUUCACCGUGCAGCAGGGGAACACCAUGGACACCAAGCUCGGCAGCGUCCACAUCUCCCCGGCCACGCUCUUCGUCAUCCCCACCGUCUUCCAGAUGGUAAUCCUCAUCCUCUACGACCGGUUCAUCGUCCCCUUCCUGCGCAGGAUCACGGGAUACGUGGGCGGCGUCACGCAUCUGCAGCGCAUCGGGAUCGGGUUCCUCUCGGCCACCGUGGCCACCGGCGUCGCCGCCCUGGUGGAGGCCAAGAGGAAGAGGGUCGCGGAGGACAAGGGCCUCAUGGAAGCCACCACCGGGAUCCCCAUGUCCGUCUUCUGGCUGACAGUGCAGUUCUUCCUCCUCGGGGUGGUGGACGUCACCUCCUUCGUGGGGCUCCUCGAGUUCUUCUACAGCGAGGCGUCCACCGGGAUGAAGUCCGUUGGCAGCUCCAUCUUCUACUGCAUCCUCGGGGUGUCGGCUUGGCUGGGGAGCCUGCUCAUCCAGGUGGCCAACCGGGUCACCAGGCGCGCCGAUGGGACGGGGGGCUGGCUGGACGGCACCAACUUGAACAUGGGCAAGCUCGACAACUUCUACUGGCUGCUUGCUGUGCUUGAGCUGGUGGCACUCUUCGUCUACACCUUCUUCGCCAGGAGGUAUGUGUAUAGGAAUGAGCAGAGGGUUGUGGAUGUGGACACCAAGGUUCCAACGGAAGGUGCCACCUUUGGUGAUGUGAUGAUCUAG
rnacentral:rRNA from 1 species